rnacentral:rRNA from 1 species
GAGUUUGAUCCUGGCUCAGAUUGAACGCUGGCGGCAGGCCUAACACAUGCAAGUCGAACGGUAACAGGAAGAAGCUUGCUUCUUUGCUGACGAGUGGCGGACGGGUGAGUAAUGUCUGGGAAACUGCCUGAUGGAGGGGGAUAACUACUGGAAACGGUAGCUAAUACCGCAUAACGUCGCAAGACCAAAGAGGGGGACCUUCGGGCCUCUUGCCAUCGGAUGUGCCCAGAUGGGAUUAGCUAGUAGGUGGGGUAACGGCUCACCUAGGCGACGAUCCCUAGCUGGUCUGAGAGGAUGACCAGCCACACUGGAACUGAGACACGGUCCAGACUCCUACGGGAGGCAGCAGUGGGGAAUAUUGCACAAUGGGCGCAAGCCUGAUGCAGCCAUGCCGCGUGUAUGAAGAAGGCCUUCGGGUUGUAAAGUACUUUCAGCGGGGAGGAAGGGAGUAAAGUUAAUACCUUUGCUCAUUG